rnacentral:misc_RNA from 1 species
GACGACGCAAAGAUUGUAGACGAAAUGUGGAUCAAUGAUUAUGAGUCAUUCAGCACUGGAAUCAAAAGAAAUGCAAAUUUUACUAAGAUUUACUCAAUAGGUCGACAUACGUUAAUUGGUCAUUGGUACCGCAAUGAUCACUUUUAAUCAAAUUUCUGUUGAAUGGUUCUUAGAGGCUGAAGUUCAACGUCAUUAUUCAGCUACAUGGCUUUUACUACCGAUCGGAUCGAUAUUUAUAACAGCUGUAGUAGUUUUACUUAUGGUAUUGUUCAACCGAUGUUCUCAAAUAAUAACAGCUGUAGUCACAGGAAUUCUGG